AUACGGAGGGGGCUAGCGUUGUUCGGAAUUACUGGGCGUAAAGCGCGCGUAGGCGGCGCGUUGCGUCAGGCGUGAAAGCCCAGGGCUCAACCCUGGAACUGCCUCUAAAACUGCUAGUCUUGAGAUCGUGAGAGGUGAGUGGAAUUCCGAGUGUAGAGGUGAAAUUCGUAGAUAUUCGGAGGAACAUCAGUGGCGAAGGCGGCUCACUGGCACGAUACUGACGCUGAGGCACGAAAGUGUGGGGAGCAAACAGGAUUAGAAACCCCAGUAGUCC
rnacentral:rRNA from 1 species